AGCAGCCGCCGCGGUAAUACGGAGGGAGCUAGCGUUGUUCGGAAUUACUGGGCGUAAAGCGCACGUAGGCGGUUAUUCAAGUCAGAGGUGAAAGCCCGGGGCUCAACCCCGGAACUGCCUUCGAAACUAGAUGACUGGAAUCUUGGAGAGGUCAGUGGAAUUCCGAGUGUAGAGGUGAAAUUCGUAGAUAUUCGGAAGAACACCAGUGGCGAAGGCGACUGACUGGACAAGUAUUGGCGCUGAGGUGCGAAAGCGUGGGGAGCAAACAGGAUUAGAUACCCCCGUAGUCCCUGUCUCUUAUAC
rnacentral:rRNA from 1 species